rnacentral:rRNA from 1 species
UCAGUAGCACGUGGCUAACCUGCCCUUGGGACGGGAACAACCCCGGGAAACUGGGGCCAAUUUCCGAUAGGUGAAGAUACCUGGAAUGGUUUUUUGCCCAAAAGACGUUUGGGUCAUGCUUCCAGACGUUGCCCAAGGAUGGGGCCGCGGCCGAUCAGGCUGUUGGUGAGGUAAUGGCUCACCAAACCUUUGACCGGUUCGGGCCGUGGGAGCGGUAGCCCGGAGAUGGGCACUGAGACAAGGGCCCAGGCCCUACGGGGCGCAGCAGUCGCGAAAACUUCGCAAUAAGCGAAAGCUUGACGGGGCCAUCCCGAGUGCCAUCUGCUGAGGAUGGCUUUUACCCAGUAUAGAUAGCUGGGGGAAUAAGGAGAGGGCAAGUCUGGUGUCAGCCCGCCGCGGUAAUACCAGCUCUCCGAGUUGUGGGGACGUUUAUUGAGCCUGAAGCAUCCGUAGCCGGCUGGGCUAGUCCCCUGUUAAAUCCAGCGACAAAUCGUUGGCCUGCGGGGGAUACUGCUCGGCUAGGGGGCGGGAGAGGCCGUCGGUAUUCUUGGGGUAGGGGUGAAAUCCUAUAAUCCCAGGAGGACCACCAGUGGCGAAGGCUGUCGGCUAGAACGCGCUCGACGGUGAGGGAUGAAAGCUGGGGGAGCGAACCGGAUUAGAUACCCGGGUAGUCCCAGCUGUAAACGAUGCAGGCUAGGUGUUAGGGCGGCUACGUGCCGCUCUAGUGCCGCAAGGGAAAGCUGUUAAGCCUGCCGCUUGGGGAGUACGGCCGCAAGGCUGAAACUUAA